AAAGUUUUAUUUUGGCUUGAAAUUUUAAAAUAUCAUUAUUUAAUAUGUAUCUUUUUUAAAAUUUUAAAUUUCACUUUUUUAUAUUAAAAAGAUAUUAAAGUAAGCUUUAGUAAUUGAUUAAAGAUUUAAUAAAAUUUGUGCCAGCAAUUGCGGUUAUACAAAUAAUUCAAUUAAAUUUUAUUGGUUAAUAAUUAAAAUUUUUAAAUAAAAAUAUUAUUAAAAUUUUUAAGUGAAAUUUAAAUUUUAAUAUAUUUUUGUUUUAAUUAUAUGAAGUUAUUAAAAUUAGCAUUAAACUAGGAUUAGAUACCCUAUUAUUUUAAUCAUAAAUUUAAAUACUUGAUUUGUAUUAGUUAUUUUCUUAAAAUUAAAAUUUGGCGGUAUUUUAGUCUAUUCAGAGGAACCUGUUCUAUUAUUGAUAAUCCACGAUUAGUUUUACUUUUCUUUUAUACUUGUAUAUCGUUGUUUUUGAAUAUUUUAUAAGAAUUACAAUUUUCAAUAAGUAAAUUUUAGUUUAUUUCAGAUCAAGGUGCAGUUUAUAGGUAAGAAGAAAUCGGUUAGUUUAAAUUUAUUUUUGGUUUUUUAUUUUAAAGAAUUUUAUUAAAUUGGAUUUGAUAGUAAUUAUAUAUAUAUAUAUAUUAUGAUUUUAAGCUCUAAAAUGUGUACAUAUUGCCCGUCACUCUCAAUAAUUUGAGAUAAGUCGUAACAAAGUAGAUUUACUGGAAAGUGUAUCUAGGAAUAA
rnacentral:ncRNA from 1 species